ACGGAAUAGAUACCCCGGUAGUCCCAGCCGUAAACGAUGCUCGCUAGGUGUCAGGCAUGGCGCGACCGUGUCUGGUGCCGCAGGGAAGCCGUGAAGCGAGCCACCUGGGAAGUACGGCCGCAAGGCUGAAACUUAAAGGAAUUGGCGGGGGAGCACAACAACGGGUGGAGCCUGCGGUUUAAUUGGACUCAACGCCGGACAACUCACCGGGGGCGACAGCAAUAUGUAGGCCAAGCUGAAGACUUUGCUUGAAUCGCUGAGAGGAGGUGCAUGGCCGUCGCCAGUUCGUACUGUGAAGCAUCCUGUUAAGUCAGGCAACGAGCGAGACCCGUGCCCACUGUUACCAGCAUGUCCUCCGGGACGAUGGGUACUCUGUGGGGACUGCCUAUGUUAAAUAGGAGGAAGGUGCGGGCCACGGUAGGUCAGUAUGCCCCGAAUCUCCCGGGCUACACGCGGGCUACAAUGGAUGGGACAAUGGGUCCCUACUCCGAAAGGAGCUGGUAAUCUCACAAACCC
rnacentral:rRNA from 1 species